rnacentral:rRNA from 1 species
UGAUUAAAUUGCUAAGGGCGCAUGGUGAAUGCCUUGGCACUAGAAGCUGAUGAAGGACGCGACAAACAGCGAUAUGCUUCGGGGAGCAGUUAAGUAUGCUUCGAUCCGGAGAUCUCCGAAUGAGGAAACUCACCUAUGGUAAUGCGUAGGUACUGCAUAAUGAAUACAUAGUUAUGUAGAAGCAACCCGGUGAACUGAAACAUCUUAGUAACCGGAGGAAGAGAAAGAAAAAUCGAUUUCCCUAGUAGUGGCGAGCGAAAAGGAAAGAGCCCAAACCAGUCUUAGGACUGGGGUUGUAGGACCUUAUAUUAAAGAGUUACAAAUUUAUGAUAUAGUUGAAUUAGUUGGGAAGCUAAACUAUAGAAGGUGAUAGUCCUGUAAACGAAAUGUCAUAAACUCUAUAGGGUAUCCUGAGUACGGCGGGGCACGUGAAACCUUGCCGGAAUCUACGGGGACCAUCCCGUAAGGCUAAAUACUCUCUAGUGACCGAUAGUGAACAAGUACCGUGAGGGAAAGGUGAAAAGAACCCCGGGAGGGGAGUGAAAUAGAAUCUGAAACCAUGUGCUUACAAGAAGUCAAAGCCCGUUAAUGGGUGAUGGCGUGCCUUUUGCAGAAUGAACCGGCGAGUUAUUGUAUCAUGCGAGGUUAAGUUGAAGAAACGGAGCCGAAGCGAAAGCGAGUCUGAAUAGGGCGAUUUAGUAUGAUGCAGUAGACCCGAAACCGAGUGAUCUAUCCAUGAGCAGGUUGAAGUUUAGGUGAAACUAAAUGGAGGACCGAACCGACUUACCUGGAAACGUGAGCGGAUGACUUGUGGAUAGGGGUGAAAUUCCAAUCGAACUCGGAGAUAGCUGGUUCUCCCCGAAAUAGGUUUAGGCCUAGCCUUGAACUAUAGCCCUUUGGAGGUAGAGCACUGAAUACACAAUGGCGGCAUCUAGCCGUACUGAGUGUAAUCAAACUCCGAAUGCCAAAGUAAGUUUGUUCAGGAGUCAGUGUAUGGGUGAUAACGCCCUUACGCGAGAGGAAAAGAAUCCAGAUCGCCAGCUAAGGUCCCUAAAUAUAUGCUAAGUGGGAAAGGAUGUGGAGUUGUCAAAACAGCUAGGAGGUUGGCUUAGAAGCAGCCACCCUUUAAAGAGUGCGUAAUAGCUCACUAGUCGAGUGACACUGCGCCGAAGAUGUACCGGGGCUAAGCAUAUUACCGAAGCUGCGAACUUUACUGUAUGGUAAAGUGGUAGGGGAGCGUUCUAAGGGCAAUGAAGGCAGAUCGUGAGGACUGCUGGAGCGCUUAGAAGUGAGAAUGCCGGUAUGAGUAGCGCAAGACGGGUGAGAAUCCCGUCCACCGUUUGCCCAAGGUUUCCUGGGGAAGGCUCGUCCUCCCAGGGUAAGUCAGGACCUAAGGCCAGGCCGAAAGGCGUAGUCGAUGGACAACAGGUUUAUAUUCCUGUACCACCUAUAUAACUGAUGGAGUGACGAAGAAGGCUAGGAGGAGCCAGUUAAUGGAUUCUGGUCUAAACACAAAGGUUUGUAUAUUGGUAAAUCCGUAUACUGUACAACUGAAGUGUGAUGGUGAAGGUAGCAUAAAGCUACUGAAAUCCUCUGACGCCAAGCUUCCGAGAAAAGCUUCUAGGGUUAAUUAUAUAGGUGCCUGUACCGAGAACCGACACAGGUGGGCAAGGAGAGUAUCCUAAGGUGAGCGAGAGAACUAUGGUUAAGGAACUCGGCAAAAUGAC